CUAAUAUCAAACUUGAUGAUCUUAGCCAAUCCAGUGCCUCCAUGCCGCGUGUGGAGACGUUGAACGUAGGUGCUGCACACUGUGCAGCACUGAGCCAGGAAGCACCUCUAGUGGCCAUUUGAGUGACUGCCACUGGGUGUCCUUAGGCCUUUUCUCUGAAAGGCAUGGUUUACAUUUAAAAGCCUGCAGGGACAUCCUAUGCUCAUACUUGAAAACGACAUACAGGACAUACUUGAAAACGAGAGAAAUCUCAAUGUAUCCAUCCUGGUAAAAUAUUUUAUAAAUAAAUAAAUGUUUG